rnacentral:snoRNA from 1 species
GUGAUCUAUGAUGACCUUUUUAACAAGAGACUGUUGGAUGAAUCUUGCGGAUAUGGGACUGAGCUCAAUG